UCAAGCUACAAAGGGCGCAUGGUGAAUGCCUUGGCAUCAGGAGCCGAUGAAGGACGCGAUAAGCUGCGAUAAGCUUCGGGUAGACGCACAUAGUCAGAGAUCCGAAGAUUUCCGAAUGAGGAAACUCACAUGGGAAACCCCAUGUAUCAUAAAGUGAAUACAUAGCUUUAUGAAGGUAUACCCAGGGAACUGAAACAUCUAAGUACCUGGAGGAAGAGAAAGAAAAAUCGAUUUUCUUAGUAGCGGCGAGCGAAAAGGAAAGAGCCCAAACCAGAGAUUUAUCUCUGGGGUUGCGGACAGAACAUAACGAGAAAUCAUAGUUAAUUGAACACAACUGGAAAGUUGGACCACAGUGGGUAAUAGUCCCGUAAGUGAAAACUAUGAUAAUCAGUUCUGCACCAGAGUACCACGAGACACGUGAAACCUUGUGGGAAGCAGGGAGGACCACCUCCCAAGGCUAAAUACUACCUGAUGACCGAUAGUGAAGCAGUACCGUGAGGGAAAGGUGAAAAGAACCCCGGGAGGGGAGUGAAAUAGAACCUGAAACCAUGUGCCUACAACCGAUCAGAGCACCUUAUGUGUGUGAUGAUGUGCUUUUUGUAGAACGAGCCAACGAGUUACGGUAUGUAGCGAGGUUAAGUACUUAAGGUACGGAGCCGAAGGGAAACCGAGUCUUAAUAGGGCGACUAGUUGCAUGCUGUAGACCCGAAACCGGGUGACCUAUCCAUGGCCAGGUUGAAGCGAGGGUAAAACCUCGUGGAGGACCGAACCACGUUGCUGUUGAAAAAGCAUGGGAUGAGCUGUGGAUAGCGGAGAAAUUCCAAUCGAACUCGGAUAUAGCUGGUUCUCCUCGAAAUAGCUUUAGGGCUAGCGUCGGAAAAUGUGAGUAGUGGAGGUAGAGCACUGAAUAGGCUAGGGGGCAUAGCGCUUACCGAACCUUAUCAAACUCCGAAUGCCACAUACUAUCAGUCCGGCAGUCAGACUAUGAAAGAUAAGUUCCAUGGUCAAAAGGGAAACAGCCCAGAUCGUCAGCUAAGGUCCCAAAGUGUAAGUUAAGUGGAAAAGGAUGUGGGAUUUCUAAGACAACUAGGAUGUUGGCUUAGAAGCAGCCACUCAUUAAAAGAGUGCGUAAUAGCUCACUAGUCAAGAGAUCCUGCGCCGAAAAUGUCCGGGGCUCAAACUUACCACCGAAGCUACGGGUUCACGUUUAACGUGAGCGGUAGAGGAGCGUCGUAAUCGGGCUGAAGUCGUACCGUAAGGAGCGGUGGACUGAUUACGAGUGAGAAUGUUGGCAUUAGUAGCGAGAUGUAGGCGAGAAUCCUACAGGCCGAAUAUCUAAGGUUUCCUGAGUAAAGUUUGUCUUCUCAGGGUUAGUCGGGACCUAAGGCGAGGCCGAAAGGCGUAGUCGAUGGACAAUUGGUUGAUAUUCCAAUACCACUAUAAUCGUUAUUAUCGAUGGUGUGACGGAGAAGGAUAGGAUGUGCUAGCUAUUGGAUGCUAGUCUAAGCGUUUAGGGAGUUGGGAUUGGCAAAUCCGUUCCAACAAUUCUGAGGCGUGAUGGGGAAGGUUCUACGGAACCGAAGUAUCUGAUUCCAUGCUUCCAAGAAAAGCAUCUAGAGAGAGAAGUAGUGCCCGUACCGCAAACCGACACAGGUAGAUGAGGAGAGAAUCCUAAGGCCGACGGAAGAAUUGCAGUUAAGGAACUAGGCAAAUUGACCCCGUAACUUCGGGAGAAGGGGUGCCUGAGAAAUCAGGCCGCAGAGAAUAGGCACAAGCAACUGUUUAACAAAAACACAGGUCUCUGCUAAAGCGAAAGCUGAUGUAUAGGGGCUGACGCCUGCCCGGUGCUGGAAGGUUAAGGGGAACACUUAGUGGUAACGCGAAGGUGUGAACUUAAGCCCCAGUAAACGGCGGCCGUAACUAUAACGGUCCUAAGGUAGCGAAAUUCCUUGUC
rnacentral:rRNA from 1 species